rnacentral:rRNA from 1 species
AUACGGAGGGUGCAAGCGUUAUUCGGAAUUACUGGGCGUAAAGCGCGUGCAGGCGGGUGGACAAGUCUGAUGUGAAAGCCCCGGGCUCAACCUGGGAAGUGCAUUGGAAACUGUUCAUCUUGAGUGCUGGAGAGGAAGGGGGAAUUCCCGGUGUAGAGGUGAAAUUCGUAGAGAUCGGGAGGAAUACCAGUGGCGAAGGCGAACUUCUGGCCAAUGACUGACGCUGAGGCGCGAAAGUGCGGGGAGC